rnacentral:rRNA from 1 species
UACGUAGGGUGCGAGCGUUAAUCGGAAUUACUGGGCGUAAAGCGUGCGUAGGCGGUUCGUUAAGUUCGUUGUGAAAGCCCCGGGCUCAACCUGGGAAUGGCAAUGGAAACUGGCGGGCUGGAGUAUGGCAGAGGGGGGUGGAAUUCCGCGUGUAGCAGUGAAAUGCGUAGAGAUGCGGAGGAACACCGAUGGCGAAGGCAGCCCCCUGGGCUAACACUGACGCUCAGGCACGAAAGCGUGGGGAGCAAACAGG